rnacentral:rRNA from 2 species
GGUCAAGCGAACAAGUGCAUGUGGUGGAUGCCUUGGCGAUCACAGGCGAAGAAGGACGCGGUAGCCUGCGAAAAGCUGCGGGGAGCUGGCAAACGAGCUUUGAUCCGCAGAUGUCCGAAUGGGGCAACCCGGCCCGUAUGGGUCAUCGGUGACUGAAUCCAUAGGUCACGCGAAGCGAACGCGGCGAACUGAAACAUCUAAGUAGCCGCAGGAAGAGAAAUCAACCGAGAUUCCCAAAGUAGUGGCGAGCGAAAUGGGAUGAGCCUGUACAAUUUAGCAUCGCGGCUAGCCGAACGCUCUGGAAAGGGCGGCCGUAGCAGGUGAUAGCCCUGUAGGCGAAAGCCGUGGUGUGGAACUAGGGGUACGACAAGUAGGGCGGGACACGUGAAAUCCUGUCUGAAGAUGGGGGGACCAUCCUCCAAGGCUAAAUACUCGUGAUCGACCGAUAGUGAACCAGUACCGUGAGGGAAAGGCGAAAAGAACCCCGGGAGGGGAGUGAAAUAGAUCCUGAAACCGCAUGCAUACAAACAGUCGGAGCCUCGCAAGGGGUGACGGCGUACCUUUUGUAUAAUGGGUCAGCGACUUACGUUCAGUAGCAAGCUUAACCGGAUAGGGCAGGCGUAGCGAAAGCGAGUCCGAAUAGGGCGAUCAGUUGCUGGGCGUAGACCCGAAACCAAGUGAUCUAUCCAUGGCCAGGUUGAAGGUGCGGUAACACGUACUGGAGGACCGAACCCACUAACGUUGAAAAGUUAGGGGAUGAGCUGUGGAUAGGGGUGAAAGGCUAAACAAACUUGGAAAUAGCUGGUUCUCUCCGAAAACUAUUUAGGUAGUGCCUCGUGUGUCACCUUCGGGGGUAGAGCACUGUCAUGGUUGAGGGGUCCAUUGCGGAUUACCUCGCCAUAGCAAACUCCGAAUACCGAAGAGUGCAAUCACGGGAGACAGACGCCGGGUGCUAACGUCCGACGUCAAGAGGGAAACAACCCAGACCGCCAGCUAAGGUCCCUAAAAUUGGCUAAGUGGGAAACGAAGUGGGAAGGCUAAAACAGUCAGGAGGUUGGCUUAGAAGCAGCCACCCUUUAAAGAAAGCGUAAUAGCUCACUGAUCGAGUCGUCCUGCGCGGAAGAUGUAACGGGGCUAAGCCAGUUACCGAAGCUGCGGAUGCGCGCGUUAAGUGCGCAUGGUAGGAGAGCGUUCCGUAAGCCUGUGAAGGUGCAUUGAGAAGUGUGCUGGAGGUAUCGGAAGUGCGAAUGCUGACAUGAGUAGCGAUAAAGGGGGUGAAAGGCCCCCUCGCCGUAAGCCCAAGGUUUCCUACGCAACGUUCAUCGGCGUAGGGUGAGUCGGCCCCUAAGGCGAGGCAGAAAUGCGUAGCUGAUGGGAAGCAGGUUAAUAUUCCUGCACCGUCGUUAGAUGCGAUGGGGGGACGGAUCGCGGAAGGUUGUCCGGGUGUCGGAAAUCCCGGUCCCUGCAUUGGAGAAGGCGCUUUGGCAAAUCCGGGCGCGCAAUUCAAGGGUGUGGGGCGAGCGGCCUAGUGCUGCGAAGCAAUCGGAAGGGGUCCCAAGAAAAGCCUCUAAGCUUCAGUCUAACGAGACCGUACCGCAAACCGACACAGGUGGGCGAGAUGAGUAUUCUAAGGCGCUUGAGAGAACUCGGGAGAAGGAACUCGGCAAAUUGGUACCGUAACUUCGGGAUAAGGUACGCCCUGUUAGCUUGACUGGCCUGCGCCAGGAGGGUGAAGGGGUUGCAAUGAACUGGUGGCUGCGACUGUUUAAUAAAAACACAGCACUCUGCAAACACGAAAGUGGACGUAUAGGGUGUGACGCCUGCCCGGUGCCGGAAGAUUAAAUGAUGGGGUGCAAGCUCUUGAUUGAAGUCCCGGUAAACGGCGGCCGUAACUAUAACGGUCCUAAGGUAGCGAAAUUCCUUGUCGGGUAAGUUCCGACCUGCACGAAUGGCGUAACGAUGGCCACACUGUCUCCUCCCGAGGACUCAGCGAAGUUGAAGUGUUUGUGAUGAUGCAAUCUACCCGCGGCUAGACGGAAAGACCCCAUGAACCUUUACUGUAGCUUUGCAUUGGACUUUGAACCGAUCUGUGUAGGAUAGGUGGGAGGCUUUGAAGCGCGAACGCUAGUUUGCGUGGAGCCGUCCUUGAAAUACCACCCUGGUUUGUUUGAGGUUCUAACCUAGUGCCCUGAAUCGGGCUCGGGGACCGUGCAUGGUAGGCAGUUUGACUGGGGCGGUCUCCUCCCAAAGCGUAACGGAGGAGUACGAAGGUACGCUAGGUACGGUCGGAAAUCGUGCUGAUAGUGCAAUGGCAUAAGCGUGCUUAACUGCGAGACCGACAAGUCGAGCAGGUGCGAAAGCAGGUCAUAGUGAUCCGGUGGUUCUGUAUGGAAGGGCCAUCGCUCAACGGAUAAAAGGUACUCUGGGGAUAACAGGCUGAUACCGCCCAAGAGUUCAUAUCGACGGCGGUGUUUGGCACCUCGAUGUCGGCUUCAUCUCAUCCUGGGGCUGUAGCCGGUCCCAAGGGUAUGGCUGUUCGCCAUUUAAAAGAGGUACGUGAGCUGGGUUUUAAAACGUCGUGAGACAGUUUGGUCCCUAUCUGCCGUGGGCGUUGGAAGUUUGAGGGGGCCUGCUCCUAGUACGAGAGGACCGGAGUGGACGAACCUCUGGUGUACCGGUUGUCACGCCAGUGGCAUCGCCGGGUAGCUAUGUUCGGAAGAGAUAACCGCUGAAAGCAUCUAAGCGGGAAACUCGCCUCAAGAUGAGACUUCCCCGGGGACUCGAUCCCCUUGAAGGGUCGUUCAAGACCAGGACGUUGAUAGGUCGGGUGUGGAAGCGCAGUAAUGCGUUAAGCUAACCGAUACUAAUUGCCCGUAAGGCUUGAUCCUA